UCUGGCGACGAGUGGCGGACGGGUGAGUAACGCGUGGGAAUCUGCCUACUAGUGGGGGACAACCUGGUGAAAACCAGGCUAAUACCGCAUACGCCCUACGGGGGAAAGCAGGGGAUCUUCGGACCUUGCGCUAGUAGAUGAGCCCGCGUUAGAUUAGCUUGUUGGUAGGGUAAUGGCCUACCAAGGCGACGAUCUAUAGCUGGUCUGAGAGGACGAUCAGCCACACUGGGACUGAGACACGGCCCAGACUCCUACGGGAGGCAGCAGUGGGGAAUAUUGGACAAUGGGCGCAAGCCUGAUCCAGCAAUACCGCGUGUGUGAAGAAGGCCUGCGGGUUGUAAAGCACUUUCAAUUGUGAAGAAAAGCUCAGGAUUAAUACUCCUGGGUCUUGACGUUAACUUUAGAAGAAGCACCGGCUAACCCUGUGCCAGCAGCCGCGGUAAUACCGGGGGGUGCGAGCGUUAAUCGGAAUUACUGGGCGUAAAGCGUGCGUAGGCGGAUUGUUAAGUCAGAUGUGUAAGCCCCGGGCUCAACCUGGGAACUGCAUUUGAUACUGGCAAUCUAGAGUGUAGUAGAGGGGGGUAGAAUUCCUAGUGUAGCGGUGAAAUGCGUAGAUAUUAGGAGGAAUACCAGUGGCGAAGGCGGCCCCCUGGACUAACACUGACGCUGAGGUACGAAAGCGUGGGUAGCAAACAGGAUUAGAUACCCUGGUAGUCCACGCCGUAAACGAUGUCAACUAGUCGUUGGAUCCUCCGGGAUUUAGUGACGCAGCUAACGCGUGAAGUUGACCGCCUGGGGAGUACGGCCGCAAGGUUAAAACUCAAAUGAAUUGACGGGGGCCCGCACAAGCGGUGGAGCAUGUGGUUUAAUUCGAUGCAACGCGAAGAACCUUACCUACCCUUGACAUCAUCAGAACUUGUUAGAGAUAACUCGGUGCCUUCGGGAACUGGUUGACAGGUGCUGCAUGGCUGUCGUCAGCUCGUGUCGUGAGAUGUUGGGUUAAGUCCCGCAACGAGCGCAACCCUUGUCCUUAGUUGCCAGCACGUAAUGGUGGGAACUCUAAGGAGACUGCCGGUGAUAAACCGGAGGAAGGUGGGGAUGACGUCAAGUCAUCAUGGCCCUUAUGGGUAGGGCUACACACGUGCUACAAUGGUAAGUACAGAGGGCAGCGAAGCGGCAACGUCAAGCAAAUCCCACAAAACUUAUCGUAGUCCGGAUUGGGGUCUGCAACUCGACCCCAUGAAGUCGGAAUCGCUAGUAAUCGUGAAUCAGAAUGUCACGGUGAAUACGUUCCCGGGCCUUGUACACACCGCCCGUCACACCAUGGGAGUGGGCUGCAAAAGAAGUAGGUAGCAUAACCUUCGGGAGUGCGCUUACCACUUUGUGGUUCAUGACUGGGGUGAAGUC
rnacentral:rRNA from 1 species